AUCAUGCUUUGUUUUGUGUGUUAUGCUUAGAUGGCGGCCGAAUACGCAGCUCGCAAUCUUUUGUAUUUGUUUCUUUUAUAAAGUGAGAAAAAAUAACCUAGUGAGGAAAAAGUGAGAAAAAUAUCUGGUUGCGUCAUGUGAAUGAUGAUCGAAAGAGGAGAGUUGAGAAAUAAAGAAGAAAACUUAGAGGAUAGAGAGUCCUACUUGAGGGGUCUACUUUCAAAGUUUCUCUAUAUGGUUACUUUUUUUUCUUUUACUUGUAUUUUCAAAUUGUGUUUUGGUAUGAGAUGACCAUUAUUUGUUAAUCUAACUCUAUAUUUUCUUUAAGCUAAAAUAUCUCUAUUAUAAAAGUAGUUUUUCCUCAAUGUAUGAUUUUGUGAUAAAUAGUAAAUAUUUUUAUAAUUUUAGGAGAAAAUAUAAUUAAAUUUACUUUUACAUGUAUAUUUAUAAACAAAAAUAAUAUUUAAUUAUAUUUUUAAGAACAGGAAAAAUUCGAGUAAAACUCAUAUCUGUAAUAAAGUUAAGUUUAUUUUAAAGAAAAUUAUAGACAUUAAUUGAAGAUGGUUUAAGAGCAUCUCCAACCUCCACUCUAUUUUUCAUUCUAAAAUAGAGUUUAUAGUAAAAAUGCUUCAAUAGUACUACAUUUCUCACUUUAUAAUAUAGUAAAAAUAUGUUUAUUUUAAAUAUAGAGUAACUUGUUUUUUUUAUUCAUUAGUCUAUUUUCUACUAUAAAAUAUAGUACUACUGGAGCAAACUUAAACUAUAUUAUAGAAUUAUUCUAUUUUUGAAUAAAAUAGAAUAAGCCAUUGGAGAUGUUCUAACAAGUUUAUUUCUCACCGACCAAGUAAUCAUUCACAUAAACCGUUUUUGAUAUCAUUAUAGACCAACAAAUUUUUAUAGAUAUCAUAGCAAUAUUUCAAACAAGUAGAACUAACUCAUACAACUCUCACUUUUGUCCAAUAUGCAUCAGUUUAUGUAUCAUCUAACUAAUAUUAAAAGGGAUAAAUGAGGAGUAGUUAGACUAUCCACGUCCUCAUUUUAAAUCAGCCAAUCAGGAGCUUUUACUUGGACACAUCAGAUCACGUCAAGCCGAAAAUGAAAAAAGCUGGCCUCUUUCGUGUGGGCUCAUUGGUUUUGUUACGGCCCAAAUUUUGAGAAGCCUAUAGUUUAAUCCUAAUCGUCUCCAAACCCUAUCAAACAUCUGUUUGCCAUCUUUUCCGCUUAUUAUCUGUAACGUCGGGCUCCCACAACUCUGUGUAAUAAAACCCAUUACUAAUUGCAGCAAUAGUGAGCCAUGAAACCGUUGCGAUUCCCUCAACAUAUAGCUUUAUAAACAUCAAACCAGGCGAUGACUAUAAGAACAGAGAAAUCCACCGGGAAGGUUCCGCUCAAUUCUUCAAUGAUGUCUCUCCUGGCUUGGCGGAGGCCGAGCUACUUUUCUGGCUAAUCCAUUUCUGGUUUGUAUUUAGUUACCUUUGUUUUGAGUAUGCAACAAAGGCAACUGACAACAUGUGUAACAAAGGUAGUGGAAUUGCUGCAAAACCUCGUGGAAUUGAGAACGUCAUAACAAUAACUGCAUAUGGGAGUUCGAUCUCAUUGUUGCAAUGGUUGAACAGAACAAAGCCAAACAAUGUGGAUAGCGAAAUCUCAACGCUAAAAGGAUACUAUGUUUCUCGGAGCUUAUAUUGGUCCUUCCUCUUUAUGAUCAAUUGUUGGUUUCAUAUAUAUAUAUUUUGUAAUCUCAGACUAAAUGUUAACUAAGUUUUGCUCUUAUCUCUUAUUUUACCCAGUUACUGCAAGAGUCAUCAUGGACAUAGACAUGUGGUGGAGCUAAGCGUACGUCAGUGUGAUUAGUAAAAACCAAUCUUCUUAAUUUGUUUUAUCUCUUCGUUAUCAUUUGUCAUGGUUUGGUCGAUUUUUCCGCAAAUCACCAUCUCAAGAUCUGUUUUGGCUUUAAGAUGUAUUUCCAGUGUGUUUCUACUUUCUACUCUUUUACAUACACUUUAUUUUCUUUUACAUACACUUUAGUUUCUCAUGUAUCACUCUCAUUCGCCAAAUACAUAUGGUCUGAUUUAGCUUUUUACUAUUAAAUGUUUUCUUUGCAUAAAACUGUCAAAGGAUUAUCAACGGCAAGACCAUCACUGUACGGUUUUUCAGGUUGGUGCAGCUCUUUCGCUCAACCAGACACAUGGCAUUUGUAACACGAAGAAGGUCAUAUACCCCAUAUUCAAAGGUGUUAAUUGCUGUUGCUAUGAUCCUAGGCGACGGUGUAUACAAACUUGCAAGGUGAGCCGGACCCUUUCCGGACUAUUAAACCAGAUCCGAGGUGGACCUGGUCCGAGAACCUCCUUUCCCAUUGCCACCAAAGAUAUCAUAUGAUGAUCAGCAUAGAACAAGAUCCUUCCUUAAGGACCAAAAUUCCUUCAUGGGUUGCUGGUGGAGGCUAUGAGCUUCGCUUACCUGAAUGGUACUACAUUCUGGUCAUCAGUGUCUUCGUCUUAGUCUUGGCUUUAUGCAAUGCGUUAUGGAGUCAGGCUCACGGUUUGGUCACUAGCCAACCCAUGUUUACAAUCAGAGCAUGGGCUGGUUCAGACCAUGGAGGUCUUCCUGCACAUAUAUAGUAUCAUAUAUAGUAUCCACAGCUUCAGACCUGACACAAGAUUUCAAGAUAGGUUACCUAAUAUUGUCAUCUCCAAGGGAUCUGUGUUGUGAGCCGAGUGAUUGGAACAUAAGUGGGAGGUUUGAUUUCGCCAUGUGUGUUCUGGCUUUUCUACAAGUUUUUACUGUUUUCUGAAUUUCGGCUUGGUUUAGAAUUGAACUGCGAUCUUUGUAUUUGUUUCUGACGUUGUUUCUACAUGUUUGUUUCUUAACUGUCAUUUAAGGUUUUAUUCUUCAGGGGUUAACAGAUAUCAAAAACACCAAAGGCUGAUAACCUUAACUUGCCUUCCGUACCAAUAGCACAUGUUGGACCUCUACCUGGUCGAGUUCAGGUUAAGCGUUUCAACCAUUCUCUUCUACGAACUUGAGAUGCUUCAAAGCAUGAGUUAGCUCUUUAUGUAUGCCUAAUGAGAGGCUUAACGACGCGAUUAACAUGCUGAGGAUUAGUUUAGAUUAGUGGCGGUACCACCUAGCUUCACGUCAUGGAUAAGUUAUGGCGUUCUCUUUGUGGAGUAGAUCUACUAAGCUCUUUGUGUAUUUUGAUUUUCUUUUGUACGUAAUUAAAUGUCAGCUUCAAGAUUUAUCUCUUCUCAACAUGUUCUUUUUUUUCCA